AUUGAACGCUGGCGGCAGGCCUAACACAUGCAAGUCGAGCGGUAGCACAGAGAGCUUGCUCUCGGGUGACGAGCGGCAGCCGGGUGAGUAAUGUCUGUGAAACUGCCUGAUGGAGGGGGAUAACUACUGGAAACGGUAGCUAAUACCGCAUAACGUCGCAAGACCAAAGUGAGGGACAUUCGGGCCUCGUGACAGCGGAAGUGCCCAGAUGGGAUUAGCUGGUAGGUGGGGUAACGGCUAACCUAGGCGACGAUCCCUAGCUGGUCUGAGAGGAUGACCAGCCACACUGGAACUGAGACACGGUCCAGAGUCCUACGGGAGGCAGCAGUGGGGAAUAUUGCACAAUGGGCGCAAGCCUGAUGCAGCCAUGCAGCGUGUGUGAAGAAGGGCUUCGGGUUGUAAAGCACUUUCAGCGGGGAGGAAGGCGGUGAGGUUAGUAACCUCACUGAUUGACGUUACCCGCAGAAGAAGCACCGGCUAACUCUGUGCCAGCCGCCGCCGUAAUAC
rnacentral:rRNA from 1 species